rnacentral:rRNA from 1 species
GAUGAACGCUGGCGGCGUGCCUAAUGCAUGCGAGUCGAGCGAACGGACGAGAAGCUUGCUUCUCUGAUGUUAGCGGCGGACGGGUGAGUAACACGUGGAUAACCUACCUAUAAGACUGGGAUAACUUCGGGAAACCGGAGCUAAUACCGGAUAAUAUUUUGAACCGCAUGGUUCAAAAGUGAAAGACGGUCUUGCUGUCACUUAUAGAUGGAUCCGCGCUGCAUUAGCUAGUUGGUAAGGUAACGGCUUACCAAGGCAACGAUGCAUAGCCGACCUGAGAGGGUGAUCGGCCACACUGGAACUGAGACACGGUCCAGACUCCUACGGGAGGCAGCAGUAGGGAAUCUUCCGCAAUGGGCGAAAGCCUGACGGAGCAACGCCGCGUGAGUGAUGAAGGUCUUCGGAUCGUAAAACUCUGUUAUUAGGGAAGAACAUAUGUGUAAGUAACUGUGCACAUCUUGACGGUACCUAAUCAGAAAGCCACGGCUAACUACGUG